rnacentral:rRNA from 1 species
AUUGAACGCUGGCGGCAGGCCUAACACAUGCAAGUCGAGCGGAGCGGCGGACGGGUGAGUAAUGCCUAGGAAUCUGCCUGGUAGUGGGGGAUAACGUCCGGAAACGGGCGCUAAUACCGCAUACUAUCAGAUGAGCCUAGGUCGGAUUAGCUAGUUGGUGGGGUAAAGGCCUACCAAGGCGACGAUCCGUAACUGGUCUGAGAGGAUGAUCAGUCACACUGGAACUGAGACACGGUCCAGACUCCUACGGGAGGCAGCAGUGGGGAAUAUUGGACAAUGGGCGAAAGCCUGAUCCAGCCAUGUAGCGUGCAGGACGACGGCCUAUGGGUUGUAAACUGCUUUAUGCGGGGAUAAGGUACCGCAUGAAUAAGGACCGGCUAAUUCCGUGCCAGCAGCCGCGGUAAUAC